GAAGUGAUCUUGGCUAACUAUUUUAAUUGGAUAGGGUUAAAAGGAUUUAGAGAAAGCUUAAGGACAGUGGUAAGGCAGGCCAAGGUCUCAUUAGGUUGGUUGAGGGCUAUCUUUUCAAGUGGGCUGUUCACAUGGUCAAUGAAGGUAGGAAGGGUCUGUUGGACUUCAAUUGGGAUUUGGUGAAGACUCUAAAGAAAGGGUGAAAUAUGAUCUAGGGAUUGUUGAAAAGUGGUGAUUUCUUCCCAUAUGUGUUAUGUGGUAGAGAUGGCCUGUUGACAG
rnacentral:sRNA from 1 species